rnacentral:rRNA from 1 species
GACGAACGCUGGCGGCGUGCUUAACACAUGCAAGUCGAACGCUGAAGCUCAGCUUUUGUUGGGUGGAUGAGUGGCGAACGGGUGAGUAACACGUGAGUAACCUGCCUCCUUCUUUGGGAUAACGCCCGGAAACGGGUGCUAAUACUGGAUAUUCACUGGUCUUCGCAUGGGGGUUGGUGGAAAGGGUUUUUCUGGUGGGGGAUGGGCUCGCGGCCUAUCAGCUUGUUGGUGGGGUGAUGGCCUACCAAGGCUUUGACGGGUAGCCGGCCUGAGAGGGUGACCGGUCACAUUGGGACUGAGAUACGGCCCAGACUCCUACGGGAGGCAGCAGUGGGGAAUAUUGCACAAUGGGCGCAAGCCUGAUGCAGCCACGCCGCGUGAGGGAUGGAGGCCUUCGGGUUGUGAACCUCUUUCGCUCAUGGUCAAGCCGCAACAAUGGUUGUGGUGAGGGUAGUGGGUAAAGAAGCGCCGGCUAACUACGUG